rnacentral:lncRNA from 1 species
UAAAAGAAAAAGAAAGAUAGAAAAGAACAAGGAAGCUCACGAAACAGAGAAAGAAAGGAAAGAAAGAAAGAAAAAGGAAAAAUUGGAGAAUUGAAGCUUGAAAGUUGAAUUGGUAAGUUAAUUAAGCCCUUUCCUUUCUAAUUUUGGUAUUUUAAAGCUUUAGAGAAAGAUUUUCUUGAAUUCAUGAGAAAAUAUUGAAAAUUAAUGAAGGUUUGAUUAGGGUUUAUGUUGAAGAAAUGAUGAAAUUAGGGAUUAAUUUGAUAAAAUUCUGAAUUUGAAUUGAUUUAGGGACUUAAUUGUAAAAGAAGCCAUAAGUUUUGAGUUUUAGGAAUUAAAUUGAAAGAAAUUCGGAAUUAUAGAAAAAUGAUGAAAAUUUGAUAGUUAUAUGAAUAUUUUGAUGGAAAUUGAAUAGAAAUAAGGUGUGAAUUGGUGUUAUAAACUUGGUUAUUAGCAUUUUACAUCAAAACAGUUUUGGGAAGUAGCAAUGGUCUGACUUUGAAAAUUCACUAAAAAAUUUAGGAAUUGAAUUAGAGGAUGAAUAAGAUAUGAAAUUAAAUCUUAUUGAGUCUAGUUUCUUAUAGUGGAAACAAUGUAAGCAAUGAAUUUAUUAAUCAAGAGAUAUUUGAAAUUUUGUAAGACUGGUUCAGGGUGAUUUCGAGACACUCUGUUUUGACUUUGGAAAACCAUUAAAAAUUGUAAAAAAAUUAUUAUGGAGUGUAAUUUAUAUUUGUGAACUCGUUAAUGAAUCUAGUUUUAAAAUAAAUAAAUAAUAACCUUAUUCGAGUUCUGUACAAUGAGAUAAUUGAUUUUUAGUAGAGAGAGGUCAGAACUGUCAAAUGGAGUAACAGGGGAGUAUUUAAUGAAUAAACUGUACUAAUUGGCUGGACCAAAAAUUCUGAAAAUUUUAUGGCGAGAAGAUAUAUGAGUCUAGUUUCAAGGAAAAUUUACAGAUAUUAAUUUGGAGUUUCGUAGCUCAAGAUAUAAAUAAUUUAGUAAUAAUGACUCAAACAGACAGCUUAAUGGUGAAAUUAUAUAUCUUAAAAAAAAAUGGUCAAAUUUGCAUGUUUAUACUCAUGAAUUAAAUUGGAUUGUAUUAUAUUAAUUAAUUAUAAUUAUGCUAAUUUUCGUAGCAAACAAAGGAACCGAGGCAUCCAAUACAAAGGGGAAAGAGAAAGUAGUCGAGGAAUAGCUCGGGGAAAAUCGGUUUGUAUUAUCAUAAUUCAAAGUAUUUAUUAUUGCAUAUUUAAUUGUAAUAUAUAUAUAUGAAUGUGCGUGAAAAUGACUAGAAUGUGAAUUGUUGAUUAGUUGUGAUUACAUUGAGAAAUAUAAGAGAAUUGAUUGAAAUGUGAAAAUGUUUCAGAAAUGGAAAUAUGAUCGAAACCCUAUUAACUAGUUGGGCUUAGUGGAUAUAAUUGGCAUGCCAUAGGAUUGGAAGUGUUCAGGGAUUCUUCGACCUCGAGUCGAUGAGGCACUAGGUGUGCCAUAGAUUUACUUCGGAUAGUUUCGAUAAGGCUUUGGUAGCCACAUUGCUUCAGCUUGGCCGAUGAGGUACUUGGUGUGCCAUAGAUCUGAUUUACUUCGAACUAUCCGAUGAGGCGUUGGUCGCCACUCUGGUGUGUUUGGUUGGAUCCGCGUACCCACCUUGGUCCGAGUCAGGUUAAUAGGGCCUAUAAGUGAAAUGAGCAAAAUUAUCUGAAUCUGAUUAUCUGAAUUAUCGAAUGAAAGGUGAAAGAAAAUGAUGAUACGAAAUGUGAAAAGAAAUUGUGUUGUGAAGUUGAAAGCAUGAACUUUAUGUUUAUGAAUUAUGUAUACAUGAAAGUGUUAUGAAUUAAGUGUUUACAUGUUGGUGAAAAUUUUAUAAUCAUUUGAAUGACAUUAAUAUGACAUGAAUUGGCAUAUUCAAUUGAUUACUUGUGCAUUUAUGUUUUGAACUUGAUUUGAUGUUAUGAAUUGAAUUAUGAUAAUACCACUGGGUAUUUUCAAUGCUCAGCGUACGGUUGUUUUCCGUGCGCAGGUUAGGUAAAAUAGAGUCCGGUUCUGUAUUCAAAAUCAUCUCCGACUCCAGCUCAUUUUGUGGUAAAAAUCUUAUCUUUUGGUAAUGUGGCAUGUACUAGGUUUUAGGUGGUCAUUUGUAUAUAUUUAAUGUUUUAAAUGUAAAAGAUGGUGUAUAAACUUUAAGGAGUUUGACGUAUAAAGGGAUGAUUCCUAAGUUUAUGAAAUGAAUGGUAUAUAGUUAC